CCAGAUUAUGAAAAUGAGGCUCAGAAAAUUUAUUUGCUGGAGGUCAGAUUGGAGUUUGGGCCAACAGGAGCAGAGAUGGAGGCUCAGGAAGGGGAAGAGGCUCAAGGAAUUGGAGGUGCCCACCCUGAGAGCAGGAGGCAAAGCCAGGCUCCACUGCCAGAGACAGCACCCACAGCACAGGCGGAAGAGCAAGGCCUCCUGCCCCACAGAGGGCGCUCUGGGCUUUACAAAGCUUAUGUCAACCCUGGAAACCCGACCCGAGGAGCUUCAGUGCAACUCCAGAGUCUGCAGAUGAAGCAAAAUUGCACCUCAUCUCCUGCUUCGGCGCCCCAGGCCACUCAAGCCCCUCUACCUGACUCUGCCCAGGCCUCUCCUUGCCUGGAUUGUGCUUUCUGCUCCUGACUUCCUGAAACCUUUUUUUUUUUUUUUCCUUCAAACAUCACCUGUCUGGUGUCUCUCAUGUUCCAACCCUGCUCUUAGCUAAUACAGAUGAUCCGCAGUCAGAACCUGGACUAACUUUGGACAAAUCAUUUCCUUUUCCUGGGCCUCAGGUUCCUCAAGUUCUAAAUGAACGGGAGCUGAUCUAGAUCCUCAAACUUCCCCACGACGCACGCAGCAGAGAGUGGAGAAGGAGCACCCACAAGCCUGGGGACUCAG